rnacentral:rRNA from 1 species
UACAGAGGUCCCGAGCGUUGUUCGGAUUCACUGGGCGUAAAGGGUGCGUAGGUGGUGGGGUAAGUCUCGUGUGAAAGCUCGCAGCUUAACUGCGAAAAGUCACGGGAUACUAUCCGCUGGAGGCUUGGAGGGGGGGGGACUGGAAUACUUGGUGUAGCAGUGAAAUGCGUAGAUAUCAAGUGGAACACCAGUGGCGAAGGCGAGUCCCUGGACAAGACCUGACACUGAGGCACGAAAGCUAGGGGAGCAAACAGG